rnacentral:rRNA from 1 species
GAUGAACGCUGGCGGCGUGCCUAAUACAUGCAAGUCGAGCGAACAGACGAGGAGCUUGCUCCUCUGACGUUAGCGGCGGACGGGUGAGUAACACGUGGAUAACCUACCUAUAAGACUGGGAUAACUUCGGGAAACCGGAGCUAAUACCGGAUAAUAUAUUGAACCGCAUGGUUCAAUAGUGAAAGACGGUUUUGCUGUCACUUAUAGAUGGAUCCGCGCCGCAUUAGCUAGUUGGUAAGGUAACGGCUUACCAAGGCAACGAUGCGUAGCCGACCUGAGAGGGUGAACGGCCACACUGGAACUGAGACACGGUCCAGACUCCUACGGGAGGCAGCAGUAGGGAAUCUUCCGCAAUGGGCGAAAGCUUGACGGAGCAACGCCGCGUGGGUGAUGAAGGUCUUCGGAUCGUAAAACUCUGUUAUUAGGGAAGAACAAAUGUGUAAGUAACUAUGCACGUCUUGACGGUACCUAAUCAGAAAGCCACGGCUAACUACGUG